CCUACGGGGGGCAGCAGUGGGGAAUAUUGCACAAUGGGGGAAACCCUGAUGCAGCGACGCCGCGUGAGUGAAGAAGUAUUUCGGUACGUAAAGCUCUAUCAGCAGGGAAGAAAAUGACGGUACCUGACUAAGAAGCCCCGGCUAACUACGUGCCAGCAGCCGCGGUAAUACGUAGGGGGCAAGCGUUAUCCGGAUUUACUGGGUGUAAAGGGAGCGUAGACGGCAGCGCAAGUCUGGAGUGAAAUCCCAUGGCUUAACCAUGGAACUGCUUUUGAAACUGUGCAGCUAGAGUGCAGGAGAGGUAAGCGGAAUUCCUAGUGUAGCGGUGAAAUGCGUAGAUAUUAGGAGGAACACCAGUGGCGAAGGCGGCUUACUGGACUGUAACUGACGUUGAGGCUCGAAAGCGUGGGGAGCAAACAGGAUUAGAUACCCCAGUAGUC
rnacentral:rRNA from 1 species